AGAGUUUGAUCCUGGCUCAGAUUGAACGCUGGCGGCAUGCCUUACACAUGCAAGUCGAACGGCAGCACGGGAGCAAUCCUGGUGGCGAGUGGCGAACGGGUGAGUAAUACAUCGGAACGUGCCCAGUAGUGGGGGAUAACCCGGCGAAAGCCGGACUAAUACCGCAUACGACCUACGGGUGAAAGCGGGGGAUCGCAAGACCUCGCGCUAUUGGAGCGGCCGAUGGCAGAUUAGCUUGUUGGUGGGGUAAAGGCCUACCAAGGCGACGAUCUGUAGCUGGUCUGAGAGGACGACCAGCCACACUGGGACUGAGACACGGCCCAGACUCCUACGGGAGGCAGCAGUGGGGAAUUUUGGACAAUGGGCGCAAGCCUGAUCCAGCCAUGCCGCGUGCGGGAAGAAGGCCUUCGGGUUGUAAACCGCUUUUGUCAGGGAAGAAACGCUCCGGGCCAAUACCUCGGAGUAAUGACGGUACCUGAAGAAUAAGCACCGGCUAACUACGUGCCAGCAGCGGCGGUAAUUC
rnacentral:rRNA from 1 species